UUACAGGGAUGUUCCUGUCUGGCUACAGAAUCCAGAACUGGAAUGUGGAGUGAGGACAUGGGAAGACACCAGCCAGAGGCGUGCAUUAUGCUGAGGUAGAUGGAGCUAGUCUGGUUCGCAUGGAGCAGCGAUGUGAGCAUUUAAAGCCAAACCAAACCAACACACACUAUUUCAAAAAGAGGUCAGCUCAUCACUAUUAAAAGCUUUUUCAGCAAACAUCAAAGCAUCUUUUGAAAAUUACAGGAAACACAUGUUCUUCCCAUCUCAGAGGCAGCCUUUCAUUGGGAGAAGGUCUUCACUGCAGAGUAAGCCCAGGCCUGGGCUAGUUUAGCACAGGGGUGCUUCCCCACAGCAAAGCACUACUCAUGCAACUAUGUCCACAGUGGUGCUGUACUAGAUGGUGUGCUGGGAUUGAUCUGCUGUACUAGAUGGUGUGCCAGGAUGGGGUAAGCGAUCCCAUGAUUCUGAGCAAUGUGCUAAACUGUGCAGCUGUAUGAAUUCAUUUGCAAUAUUCUCUCUCUCUCUCCCUUUCACCUGACAUGGAGAAGCUG